AGCAUGAGAUUUGCUUGAACCUGGGAGGUGGAGGUUGCAGUGAGCCGAGAUCGCGCCACUGCACUCCAACCCAGGCGACAGUGUGAGACUCCAUCUCAAAAUAAAAUAAAAUAAAAUAAAAUAAAAAAGAAACCAGUCCAAGGUCACAAUCUAAGUGGAUGAGGUAGCAUUGGGACUCAGGCAGUAUUUAAGUGACUUUUUUUUUUUGAGAUGGAGUCUCGCUCUGUCACCCAUGCUGGGGUGCAGUGGCGCAAUCUCAGCUCACUGCAGUCUCCGCCUCCUGGGUUCAAGUGAUUCUCGUGCCUCAGCCUCCCAAGUAGCUGGGACUACGGGUACCCACCACCACGCCUGGCUAAUUUUGUAUUUUUAGUAGAGAUGAGGUUUCACCAUGUUGGCCAGGCUGGUCUCAAACUCCUGAUCUCGAGGGAUCUGCCUGUCUCGGCCUCCCAAAGUGCUGGGAUUAGAGGUGUGAACCACUGCGCCUGGCCUUUAAAUGACUCUUCAUGCUUUCUGGAAGACAACAGAUACAUUACAGCACCAGCUCGGAGCCAACCUGUUUGGGUUCAACUCUAGGUCUAUGAUUUUCUAAACAUUGGGUCUCACUAGGUUGACUAGGCUAGUCUCAAACUUCUCAGGUGAUUCUUCCACCUUGGCUUCCCAAAGUGCUGGGAUUACAGGCAUGAGCCACUGCACCCGGCUAAGGUCUACUACUUAUUAUCUGUAGGAUUUGUGCAAUGUGUAUAACCUCUCUGAGCCUCAGUUUCCCCAUCUGCAUAAUGAAGAUCAUAUUGGUACCCACCUUAUAGGGCUGUCUGUUGCCUAUGCCUAGCACACAGUAAGCUUUUGGUGGGGGCAUUAAGGGGGGCAGUACAGCCUGGUGGUUUGUUACCAGCAUGGAGUCUAGAGUCCGAUUAACUCCAGUCAGAGCCCCAGUUCCUCCUCUUAGCUUCUUUGGGAUCUUGAACAGGAUUCUUAUUUCCCAUUCCCUGGAGG
rnacentral:lncRNA from 10 species